rnacentral:rRNA from 1 species
UGAGGAAUAUUGGUCAAUGGGCGCGAGCCUGAACCAGCCAAGUAGCGUGAAGGAUGAAGGUCCUAUGGAUUGUAAACUUCUUUUAUAGCAGAAUAAAGUGACCCACGUGUGGGUUUUUGUAUGUAUGCUAUGAAUAAGGAUCGGCUAACUCCGUGCCAGCAGCCGCGGUAAUACGGAGGAUCCGAGCGUUAUCCGGAUUUAUUGGGUUUAAAGGGUGCGUAGGCGGAAAGAUAAGUCAGCCUGUGAAAGUUUGCGGCUCAACCGUAAAAUUGCAGUUGAUACUGUUUUUCUUGAGUGUACAUAAGGUAGGCGGAAUUCGUGGUGUAGCGGUGAAAUGCUUAGAUAUCACGAAGAACUCCGAUUGCGAAGGCAGCUUACCGGGGUACAACUGACGCUGAUGCACGAAAGUGUGUGUAUCAAACA